GACGAACGCUGGCGGCGUGCUUAACACAUGCAAGUCGAACGGAAAGGCCUGCUUUCCCUUGUGGAUUGCGGGUACUCGAGUGGCGAACGGGUGGGUAACACGUGAGUGAUCUGCCCCCAACUUGGGUAUAAGCCUGGGAAACUGGGUCUAAUUCCCGAUAGGACUGCAGGGUGGUGCCUGUGGUGGAAAACGAUUUUCUAGUGGUUGGGGAUGAGCUCGCGGCCUAUCAGCUUGUUGGUGGGGUAAUGGCCUACCAAGGCGGCGACGGGUAGCCGGCCUGGGAGGGUGGACGGCCACAUUGGGACUGAGAUACGGCCCAGACUCCUACGGGAGGCAGCAGUGGGGAAUAUAGCACAAUGGGCGGAAGCCUGAUGCAGCGACGCCGCGUGGGGGAUGACGGCCUUCGGGUUGUAAACUCCUUUCGACCGCGAGGAAGCCACCUGGUUGGAAGGGUGGUGACGGUAGUGGUAGAAGAAGCACCGGCUAACUACGU
rnacentral:rRNA from 1 species